UUCCGGUUGAUCCUGCCGGAGGCCAUUGCUAUCGGAAUCCGAUUUAGCCAUGCUAGUCGCACGGGUUUAGACCCGUGGCGAACAGCUCAGUAACACGUGGCCAAACUGCCCUGUGGACGGGGAUAAUCUCGGGAAACUGAGGCUAAUCCCCGAUAGGGCUUCCAUCCUGGAGUGGAGGAAGUCCAAAAGUUGCGCUGCGGCACCACAGGAUGUGGCUGCGGCCGAUUAGGUAGACGGUGGGGUAACGGCCCACCGUGCCAGUAAUCGGUACGGGUGAUGAGAGUCAGAGCCCGGAGACGGUAUCUGAGACAAGAUACCGGGCCCUACGGGGCGCAGCAGGCGCGAAACCUUUACACUGCACGACAGUGCGAUAGGGGGAUUCCGAGUGCGAGGGCAUACAGUCCUCGCUUUUCUGGACCGUAAGGAGGUCCAAGAAUAAGGGCUGGGCAAGACCGGUGCCAGCCGCCGCGGUAAUACCGGCAGCCCGAGUGAUGGCCGAUAUUAUUGGGCCUAAAGCGUCCGUAGCUGGCCAGACAAGUCCGUUGGGAAAUCCACGCGCUCAACGCGUGGGCGUCCAGCGGAAACUGCCUGGCUUGGGGCCGGAGGACUCGAGGGGUACGUCCGGGGUAGGAGUGAAAUCCCGUAAUCCUGGACGGACCACCGGUGGCGAAAGCGCCUCGAGAGGACGGACCCGACAGUGAGGGACGAAAGCCAGGGUCUCGAACCGGAUUAGAUACCCCGGUAGUC
rnacentral:rRNA from 1 species